CGCCUGGGGAGUACGGCCGCAAGGUUAAAACUCAAAUGAAUUGACGGGGGCCCGCACAAGCGGUGGAGCAUGUGGUUUAAUUCGAUGCAACGCGAAGAACCUUACCUACACUUGACAUGCAGGGAACUUUCUAGAGAUAGAUUGGUGCCUUCGGGAACUCUGACACAGGUGCUGCAUGGCUGUCGUCAGCUCGUGUCGUGAGAUGUUGGGUUAAGUCCCGCAACGAGCGCAACCCUUGUCCUUAGUUGCCAGCAUUAAGUUGGGCACUCUAAGAGACUGCCGGUGACAAACCGGAGAAGGUGGGGACGACGUCAAGUCAUCAUGGCCCUUACGUGUAGGGCUACACACGUGCUACAAUGGCAUUUACAGAGGGAAGCGAGACAGUGAUGUGGAGCGGACCCCUUAAAGAAUGUCGUAGUCCGGAUUGGAGUCUGCACUCGACUCCAUGAAGUCGAAUCGCUAGUAUCGCAGU
rnacentral:rRNA from 1 species